rnacentral:rRNA from 1 species
UACGGGGGGUGCGAGCGUUGUCCGGAAUCACUGGGCGUAAAGGGCGCGUAGGUGGCGUGCUAAGGGUGUGGUGAAAGCCCGAGGCUCAACCUCGGAACUGCCUUCGAUACUGCGGGUCUUGAGUCCGGGAGAGGUGAGUGGAAUUCCUAGUGUAGAGGUGAAAUUCGUAGAUAUUAGGAAGAACACCAGUGGCGAAGGCGGCUCACGGGCCCGGUACUGACGCUGAGGCGCGAAAGCGUGGGGAGCAAACAGG